CCUACGGGAGGCAGCAGUGAGGAAUAUUGGUCAAUGGACGAGAGUCUGAACCAGCCAAGUAGCGUGAAGGAUGACUGCCCUAUGGGUUGUAAACUUCUUUUAUAUGGGAAUAAAAUGUUCCACGUGUGGGAUUUUGUAUGUACCAUAUGAAUAAGGAUCGGCUAACUCCGUGCCAGCAGCCGCGGUAAUACGGAGGAUCCGAGCGUUAUCCGGAUUUAUUGGGUUUAAAGGGAGCGUAGGUGGAUUGUUAAGUCAGUGGUGAAAGUUUGCGGCUCAACCGUAAAAUUGCAGUUGAAACUGGCAGGCUUGAGUACAGUAGAGGUAGGCGGAAUUCGUGGUGUAGCGGUGAAAUGCUUAGAGAUCACGAAGAACUCCGAUUGCGAAGGCAGCUCACUGGACUGCAACUGACACUGAGGCUCGAAAGUGUGGGUAUCAAACAGGAUUAGAUACCCUGGUAGUC
rnacentral:rRNA from 1 species